rnacentral:lncRNA from 10 species
CUUCCUGGAGCAGCCAGGACUUGGGGACUGCUGAGAAAGGUAUAUACUCAAAAGAACUGAAAAUGGAUAUUCAAACAAAAACGUGUACAUGAAUGUUCAUCGCAGCACCAUUCAAAACAGCCAAAAGGUGGAAACAACCCGAAUGGCCAUUGUGGAUGAAUGGAUAAUCAAACUGUGGUACCGGAAUAUUCAGCCUUAAAGAGAUGAUACACUGGUAUACGCUAC